rnacentral:rRNA from 1 species
AUUGAACGCUGGCGGCAGGCCUAACACAUGCAAGUCGAGCGGUGCGGCGGACGGGCGACAAAUGCCUUGGAAUCGGCCUGGUAGUGGGGGAUAACGUCUGGAAACGGGCGCAAAUACCGCAUACUCUAAGAGAAGACUAUGUCUGAUUUGCUAGUUGGUGGGGUAAAGGCCUAACCAUGCGAAGAUCCGUAACUGUCCUGAGAGGAUGAUCAGUAACUCUGGCACUUAGACACGGUCCUGACUCUGGCGGUAGGCAGUAGUGGGGAAUUGUGGACAAUGGGUGAAUGCAUGAUCCAGCCAUGCCGAGUGUGUGAAGAAGGUCUUCGGAUUGUAAAGCACUUUAAGUUGGGAGGCGUUACCAACAGAAUAAGCACCGGCUAACUUCGUGCCAGCAGCCGCGGUAAUAC